rnacentral:sRNA from 1 species
UCACUCCUAUGAUACUUCAUCUGUGGCAAGCUCAGAUAGUGGUGACAGGACCAACUUAAAAAGGAAGAAGAAAUUACCUGAUUCUUUUUCACUUCAUGGAUCAGUUAUGCGCCAUUCACUUUUGAAGGGAAUUUCUGCCCAGAUAGUGUCUGCAGCUGUAAGUAUUUUGUUCUUUUCCCUCAACUUUGUAACCUGCAAUGGCAUAAUGAAGUAGGAAUGAGCAUAAAACAAAAUACAGCACUUCUCUUGGCCCGAGGCUUAAGAAAAAUAGAAUCUGGCUUUCAUGGUUUUUGUGUGAUGAUUUUUGACUUAUGAGACGUGGCUACACGUCUUGACAGAAAUUAGCACAGCCAUGAAAAUAAAGUU